GGCAGUGUGUGUAGUGGUUUGAGCAUUCGUUAAUGGCUCUGGAGACCAAGGUUCAAAUCCUUGCUUGGUCA